AGAACGAACGUUGGCGGCGUGGAUUAGGCAUGUAAGUCGCGGGAAUCCAGCAAUGGGGAACCGGCGUAAGGGGCAGUAAUGCGUGGGUACCUACCCUGGGGUCUGGGAUAGCCGUCCGAGAGGGCGGGUAAUACCGGAUGAUCUCGGGAGAGCAAAGCUCCGGCGCCCUGGGAGGGGCCCACGUGAUAUUAGCUAGUUGGCGGGGUAACGGCCCACCAAGGCGGAGAUGUCUAGCGGGUGUGAGAGCACGACCCGCGCCACUCGCACUGAGACACUGGCGAGACACCUACGGGUGGCUGCAGUCGAGGAUCUUCGGCAAUGUGCGCAAGCACGACCGAGCGACGCCGCGUGGGCGACGAAGGCCUUCGGGUUGUAAAGCCCUGUCGAGGGGGAGAAAAGCCCGUAAGGGUGUGAUCUAUCCCUGGAGGAAGCUCGGGCUAAGUUCGUGCCAGCAGCCGC
rnacentral:rRNA from 1 species